GGUAACCUGCUCGGGUCCCCUUCCAGUCUGUGGGGUAUUUCCUCUUUUGCUGUUUGCAGUAAAUCUUGCUGCUGUUCAUUGUUUGGGUCCACACUGCCUUUAUGAGCUGUAACAUUCACUGUGAAGGUCUGCAGCUUAGCUCCUGAAGCCACUGAGACCACGAACCCACCAGAAGGAAGAAACUCUGAACACAUCCGAACAUCAGAAAGAACAAACUCUGGACACACCGCCUUUAGGAACUGUAACACUGACUGAGAGAGUCCCAGACUUCAUUCUUGAAUUACAGGGCUUUGACUCUUGGGUCUGAAGAAGGCACCAGCCCCUGCUAAAUUCUGAGCAUUGACACCAGUGGAAGCCUCAUCCUCAGACUUGGAAGAAGGUGGUCUAGAGAUUUCCUGCCUUCUGAAGCUUGUCUGGGAGGCAGGAAGACCACGGCGGAGGAGAAAGGAGCACUUCUACACACCUCCUCACUGACACCCCUGCCUGCCUUUGUCAGACCUUCGGAGGAGGCACUCCAUGGAGAAAGGGCUCCAGCUGACACUCUGAGUUGUGCAGCGUGGGGUGGGGUCCGGAAGAUGUACUAUUCCAGGAAACGAUUCUACUCCAAGAUGGGGGGGCCAGCAGAAUCGCCCAGGCCAGGCUGUGGCAGAUGAGCCGUCCCUCUUACAGGCAGGUGAAUCGGGAGCUGUCCCUCUGCCUGGAAUACUCCCCUAAGGCCCUCCACAGUUGCAUUGAAAAUGUCACUUGAUGCAGCUGACUCAUCUGGGCCUGAACUCUGGAUGGGCUGGACGACUGCCAUUAGGUUCCUUUGACUGGAAGCACACUGGGAGAGGUGCAUGGGCCUCCCUUGGUGAUGUCCCUUGUCCCUUUGCAUGGACACUACCAGAAGGCCGUCUGUCCCUUCGUCAGGUGGUCGCAGGCAUAGCCAGUCCAGCUGCCCACAGGAACGACCGUGAUUGCAACCUUUAUGCUGGCUUUCCUCAUGCCUGGUGUCACCUCCCCACUCCUCCCCUGCUGCUCCCCGCGUUCGCUCCCAAAUAAACUCCCGCACCUAGGUCUCUGCUCCAGGCUCUGCUCUCAGGGGAGCUCAAGAUGAGCCUCCACAGGGAGGUCUUCCCUGACCACUUAGAGGAGGCUGGGUCACCCUGUUGGACACUCUAGCCACUCCCUGCACUUCCCGUUCUCAGCACUUAAUGGCCUUGUGAUUAAGAAACUUUUGGUAUAGUUAUUUAUUCCUAUCUCACUCCUGACUAGGCUAUAAACUCCCCAGGCAGAGAAGAGUCUGUCCUCUGAACCACUUUUGCUCAGAGUGCAUAGUAGGUGCUGAGAACUAAAAAUCAAAUCCUAAGCCCCACAACGGACUGAACAGACCCACUCUUGGCCAAGGGGACCCAGGAGAAACCUUAAAAACCAAGUUCCUGGCCAUGAUGGGACAGGAGGCCAAACACAUCUCAGUAUGCCCCUUACUUACUGACUUUUAACCAGAAUUCCUUCGUAAGGAGUAAGCAGAUUUGGAAAACAAGAAACAGACGACUCAUUCCUUUAUUACCUUCAGCCAAUCGUGACCAUGCCAAUGAGGCCAUGACCAGACUCCCUCUUCCCCUUUGCAGUUUUGACAUGAAAGCUCACCAGCUUCAUAAUGGUAUCCCUUCCUAAAAACUGACCACCCUCCAGCUUUAAAAAAAAAAAAAAGAAAGAAAAAAAAAAAGAAAAGAAACGGCCAGUGACCAUCUCUGGGCCAGUUUUGGCCACCCUCUGGAGGAUGUGCGUGAGGGUUUUCACGUCCUUUGCUUCACCUUUUGAUGUCUGAGGACCAAAAAUUCCACCCUUGAGGAUCAUACUAACCCUGGUAUUGUUUGGACAUGCAACCCAAGAAGAGGCAUGAAGCUGGACCACGCAUGUGCAUGUUUCUCCUUUCAUCAGUAUUCAUGGCUCCUCCGGUCGCUGGUUACGUGUGUAUAUUCAGCCGUCUCACUCAGCAUAAGUUCCUGUUCCCUUUACCCUUCCCUCAAACUGCUUGCUCUCUGCAGAGCCAGAGGCCAUGCUGCCCAGCCUAUGGGAUGGCUGGCCUGCAGGCUGCCUCUGUUUAUGAUAAAUAAAGAUCUCCUUUCCAC
rnacentral:lncRNA from 1 species